GAUGAAGAACGUAGCGAAAUGCGAUAAAUAAUGUGAAUUGCAGAAUUCAGUGAAUCAUCGAGUCUUUGAACGCACAUUGCGCCCCCUGGUAUUCCGGGGGGCAUGCCUGUCCGAGCGUCAUUGCUGCCCUCAAGCACGGCUUGUGUGUUGGGCCCCCGUCCCCCCCUCCCGGGGGACGGGCCCGAAAGGCAGCGGCGGCACCGCGUCCGGUCCUCGAGCGUAUGGGGCUUUGUCACCCGCUCUGUAGGCCCGGCCGGCGCCUGCCGACCACCAUCAAUCUUUUUUCAGGUUGACCUCGGAUCAGGUAGGGAUACCCGCUGAACUUAAGCAUAUCAAUAAGCGGAGGA
rnacentral:misc_RNA from 1 species